rnacentral:rRNA from 1 species
CUGGCGGCGUAGCCUAAUACGAUGCAAGUACGAACGGUCUUUCUAUGGAAGCUUGCUCCACUGAGAAGAUAGUGGCGAACGGGUGAGUAACACGUGGGUAACCUGCCCAUAAGAGGGGGGAUAACGAUCCGGAAACGGGUGCUAAUACCGCAUAGUUUUCUUGAUCGCAUGAUUGAGAAAGGAAAGACGGCCUUUGUGCUGUCGCUUAUGGAUGGACCCGCGGCGUAUUAGUUAGUUGGUGAGGUAACGGCUCACCAAGACGAUGAUACGUAGCCGACCUGAGAGGGUGAUCGGCCACAUUGGGACUGAGACACGGCCCAAACUCCUACGGGAGGCAGCAGUAGGGAAUCUUCCGCAAUGGACGAAAGUCUGACGGAGCAACGCCGCGUGAGUGAAAGAAGGUUUUCGGAUCGUAAAACUCUGUUGUCAGAGAAGAACAAGUUGGAGAGUAACUGCUCCAGCCUUGACGGUAUCUGACCAGAAAGCCACGGCUAACUACGUGCCAGCCGCCGC